UACGGAGGGGGCGAGCGUUAUUCGGAAUUAUUGGGCGUAAAGGGCGCGUAGGCGGCUGAACAAGUCAAAGGUGAAAUCCCUCGGCUCAACUGAGGAACUGCCUUUGAAACUGUUCGGCUUGAGGCCGGGAGGGGGUAGCGGAAUUCCCAGUGUAGCGGUGAAAUGCGUAGAUAUUGGGAGGAACACCAGUGGCGAAGGCGGCUACCUGGACCGGUUCUGACGCUGAGGCGCGAAAGCGUGGUAGCAAACAGG
rnacentral:rRNA from 1 species